CCUACGGGUGUCAGCAGUGAGGAAUAUUGGUCAAUGGACGGACGUCUGAACCAGCCAUGCCGCGUGCAGGAAGACGGCUCUAUGAGUUGUAAACCUCUUUUGUACAAGGGUAAACCUGAAUACUUGUAUUCAUCUGAAAGUACUGUACGAAUAAGGCUCGGCUAACUCCGUGCCAGCAGCCGCGGUAAUACGGAGGAUCCAAGCGUUAUCCGGAUGUAUUGGGUUUAAAGGGUGCGUAGGCGGAUUGAUACGUUAGAGGUGAAAUGUGCGAGCUUAACUCGCGAACUGCCGCUAAUACUGUUGAUAUAGAGAGUAGAUGAGGUAGGCGGAAUGUAUGGUGUAGCGGUGAAAUGCUUAGAGAUCAUACAGAACUCCGAUUGCGAAGGCAGCUUACCAAUCUAUAUCUGACGUUGAGGCACGAAAGCGUGGGGAGCAAACAGGAUUAGAUACCCUGGUAGUC
rnacentral:rRNA from 1 species